rnacentral:misc_RNA from 1 species
UUAACUUAUUUAGUUAUAGAUUCAGAAUAACAUAGAAUUAACAGAGUUUCAUGGGCCACCGGCAGGCUUACCCGCGACUACCGGGUAGGGUCCUACAGGGUAGGACCUCACCGGGUAGACACGACCUGCCGAGGCAACAGAAGGUAAGUUCACAUGGGUUUAGGGAGUUGUAAUAACUCUUUAAUGAUCCCUCCGCUGGUUCACCAACGGAGA